rnacentral:rRNA from 1 species
UACGGGGGGUGCGAGCGUUGUCCGGAAUCACUGGGCGUAAAGGGCGCGUAGGUGGUCUUGUAAGUCUGUGGUGAAAGCCCGGGGCUCAACCCCGGGUCUGCCGUGGAUACUGUGAGACUUGAGUACUGUAGAGGCAGGUAGAAUAUCGGGUGUAGCGGUGGAAUGCGUAGAGAUCCGAUAGAAGACCGGUGGCGAAGGCGGCCUGCUGGGCAGUAACUGACACUGAGGCGCGACAGCGUGGGGAGCAAAC